GAAAACUCCAAAGAGGGGUCACAAAGAGUUGAACUUGCCAGAAAUGACUUGACAACCACAAAAAUUGGCUGACAAAAUAGUUCUUGUGACAGUCUAGAGAAGAACAAGCUCACCUCUUUGGUGAGAUUUGGCAUUUCCCCUGAGGAAUGAAUCAGAACAUCCCUGCACUUCAUCAGUGUCUUAAUUUACACUUUCAAAGAAUGAGGUUAUGAAAGUCAAGUGAGCCAGUAAUCUGUGGGUCCUAACUAAAAAUAGGUUAUUUCCCAGAAUGAAGGUGUCUGCACACGCAGUUACAUAACAUUACCAUUAAUGGGGUGUAGAGCACAGCAAACCUGAAGCCAGAAAGGCCUGAAUUCAAGUUCCACUGCUAAUCCAGAUUGUGUGAUGCUGGGCAAGUCUUUUGACCUCUAAGUGUCCCAGACAACUCUAAAACUUGUAAGUUGCUAAGCAAGUGUUGAUCUGCUUGGGCAGGAGGCUGGUCUUCACCUGGAAAUCAUUUGUACCAGGGAAACCACAGGUGCAUUCUCUUUCCCCAUGCUAACGUAUCACCAGCCCUGGGACUAAAGUCACAGCCUUGGAUGAGCAAAUAAUAAUUGUUUACAUAUAGUACUUUAAGGUUUGCAAGGUAUUUCCUAGCAGUUUAAUUUGAAGAUGAGAUAAGAUGGUCUCCUAAGGGCCUCCUUGCCUCCUCUUUCCCCAGCCUCCAGCGUCCUGCCAGUGUAGAUCAGGCAUUCUCCUUCCCAUUCAACAACUUUAGAAUUUCUCGAUUGCUUUAAUGAUAAAAUACGAACUUUGGUUGUGAAAGUCUUCACAACCUGGUUCCAACCCAUGUUUUCAGUCUCACUGAUCCUGCUCCUUUGACUUUUGAUUUAGCAAAACCAUCCUCCCCAGUCAUCAUAACACAACGCUCUAUUUCCCAUCUCCCACCUCCAUGUCUUUGUAUCUAUCAUCCAUCUGACAUGUAGUCUCCUCAUCUCUGCCUCACAAAACCCUUCUCUUUCCUUCAAGACACAGCUCAAACACCACUUUCUAUGUGAAAUCUUUUCUGAUUCCCCCAACUGCUGGUGCUCUUACUCCUUGAGAAUUUGUAGUUAACCAAUGUAUAGUUUUUCUCUCUUCUCUUUAUAUUCUGUGUACACUUAUAUGUCCUUAUUGUCUUCCUUGUCAGAAUGUGAGAUUAAUUUUCAACAUUUACCUUUAUGAUAUUUUGAUUUUCAUUUUUUCCCUCUCUCCCCACCUCCUCCCAUUACUCUUUCUUCCCCAAGACAGCAAUCAAUCUGGUACAGGAUAUAUGUGUACAAUAUAUUAAACAUAUUUCCAUAAUCAUCAUGUAGAAGGUGAAAUCUUUGAGAAUGGUAAUUUCUAGUCUUAGAGUUGAGUGAGUUGUACAAGAUUAUGAAAAGCAGUUGGGCAGCUAGGUGGAAAUGGCAAACUACUGCAGUAUCUCUGCCAAGAAAACUCCAAAUGGGGUCAUGAAGAAUCAGACUGGAUUGAAAAAUGAUUGAACCAUGGGAGCCAGUAGGUUUCCCUGGGCCUUAAAUCCCGGUUUUAUUGAGUCUGAGAUGAGCUCUCUAUCUACUGUCCUAAAUUGCCUUUCAUAUAUAUUUUGUGUAAGCAAAAUAUAAACACGGUAAUUAGAAGAGGGAGGACACUUUGAGAGGAAGUGGUAAUUCCAAAAGGUACAUGAGAGGAAGAGAUAGGAAGCAGUAGAAAGGUGAUAGAGAGCCUGUGCAAAGGCCCCAGAAAGACUGGAGAAGGCUGACAUAUACAGAAAACAGCAAAUAGAUCAGUCUGUUAAAGCAGACAGAGUUUGUGAGGGGGAAUCAUGGGAAAAGGCACAGGCAGCUUGGUCUAGUGAACAAAGGGCUUGCCUGGCAGUCCAAGGCCUGGGGUUUGAGUCCUGCUUUAGCCAAACACCAGACAGAUGGUGGGAGGGCAAGGAGACUCACCCUGGUGGGUCCCAGAUUGCCCUGCCAGAUGAGAACGUUGGACAAGAUGAUCUCUCACCCUGGAUCAGAGACCAUGACAUGGUCGGCCACAGACCAGCUCCCCCGCUGGACCCAGACACUAACUUACCUGCGUGGGGGAGAUCAGCAACUCUGGGAUAUAUUUUCCACAUUUUGCGGAUGAGGAAAUAGCAUCAGAAGUUGAGUGUUCUUACACCUUACUCUACUCCAUAUACUCUACAAUCUGGUGAUACUUUGCUGCUCCGCACAUAAGAUACUCCAUCGCCCUAUCUUAGACAUUUUCAUUAAUUGGCCCUCCCUACCUGGAACUCUUCCUCUCCCUCUCUGCCUCCUGACUUCCAAGUUUUCUUCAGCUACAGAGCAAUUUCUGCAAGAAGACUUUCCCAAUACUCCUUAAUCUUGGUGCUUUCCUUCUAAGAUUAUCUCCAUUUUAUCUUCUAUAUAUCUAUAUAUCUUUAUCACAUAUAUAUUUGUCUCUAAUUGUUUAUAUGUAUAUAUUUUUGUACAUAAUUUCUGUCGUCACUGCCAUUAGACUGGGAGUUCCUUGAGGUCAGAAACUGGUUUUUUUUGCCUUUCUUUAUAUUCUUUAUGCUUAGCACAGUACCUGGCACACAGUAGUCAUUUAAUAAAUGCUUAUUAACCAACUAGUGCUGAUACAUAACUCAGUGAGGGAGGGAGUAUUUGAUGGAUAAGCAAAAGUCCUUGAUUUGGUCCUGGAUUCUAGCAGGAUAUGUCAGCCUUAUCCUGGUAUGCUAACCUGUCAUUGCAAAAGAAUUGAUCUCAGAGAAGUCAUAGCUCUGCUAUCUGUAUGACUAUGAAUAAGCCAAAAAAAAACUAUCUAUAAAAUAAAAUAUAAAAAAUAAUAAUCUUUGCCCUUAUGAAGAUCAAAUUACCCAAUCUAUAAAUAUAUAUAAUGUCACUAUGUUAUUAUUGAAGCAAUUCCUUUUAAUUCUAAUGCCUUCGUUAAUUAUUUCCUAUUUAUCUUGCAUAGAUUAUAUUUGUUUGCUUGUUAUAAUUGUGAGCUCCUAGAGGACAGGGACUGACUUUUGCCUCUUUUUGUAUCCCACCACUUAGCACAGUGCCCUGGCCCAUAGUAGGUGCUUAAUACAUAUUGAUCAAUUAAUUGAAGCAAUGUGGUACAGUAGGGAGAUUACUGGUCUGGAACUUAGUCCCAAUGCUGCUAACUAACUAAAUUCCGAUCAUAGGGUUACAUUGAGAGGCAGCAUGAUGUUGAAUUUAGUGUCUGGCUUCAAAUCCUAGCCAUGCAAUUUACUACCUGUAUAAUCUCAGUCCAAUCAUUUAACCUCCGUGCCCUUAGUUUUCUCAUCUGUAAAACAGGGGGAUUGUCCUAGAUGAUCUCUGAGAUCCCUUCCAGCUCUAGUAUUCAUUUAUUUUAAGACUCUAAUAAUAACAGUAAUAAUUAUCAAUAAGAGAAAUAGAGGAGUUGAAAAGAAAGGAUUUCUAUUUUCUUAGCACUGGUAUAUCUUGGUUUCAAGAGUACAGCAAUAUAGGUCAACAUGUUAUUUGCACUUACUUCAUCU